CAGUCGCCGCGGGAAUACGGAGGGUGCAAGCGUUAAUCGGAAUUACUGGGCGUAAAGCGCACGCAGGCGGUCUGACAAGUCAGAUGUGAAAUCCCCGGGCUUAACCUGGGAACUGCAUUUGAAACUGUCAGGCUGGAGUCUUGUAGAGGGGGGUAGAAUUCCAGGUGUAGCGGUGAAAUGCGUAGAGAUCUGGAGGAAUACCGGUGGCGAAGGCGGCCCCCUGGACAAAGACUGACGCUCAGGUGCGAAAGCGUGGGGAGCAAACAGGAUUAGAUACCCGAGUAGUCCCUGUCUCUUAUAA
rnacentral:rRNA from 1 species